rnacentral:lncRNA from 1 species
AAAAUAAAGGUGCAUGAUGCUUGUUCAGCCAUGCUACCCCGAAGGUUUCCGGACGAUGGUGGUCCUGAUUGACCAGUUGGUGAGGCGCUCCCCUUAGUUCACAGCUUGAAUGGAAGGGCCUUCCUCCCCUUCCUCUUCAAAGAUCACACAACAGUCCAUGUCCUCUAGAAACAUGUUCUUCCGACCCGUAGAGAGUGUUGAAUGGCUGAAAUGUCUGCACCAAGUGAGGUAUGGGGCAUUCCAAUGGAUUAUAUGGGCCUUGCCAUGGUGGUGACCAGUUUCUGAAUUCUUGCAAAGUGUACUCGUAUCUCAGUCCGAAGGUAGUACCAUUUUUCUUCAUCUGUAUAGGUUUGGUGAUACCUUGAAGAUUCUUACCAAGUCCUUUCCCCGGUUCAUACCUACUCCAAUUAAGAAUGCUCUCAACCUUGUUUCUCCACUAUUUGUCCUUAUCCACCAUUAUGAAUCUAGAACAU